rnacentral:tRNA from 1 species
UCUUCCGUAGUAUAGUGGUCAGUAUGUGAGCUUGUCAACUAACAACGCUCGAGACCCGGGUUCAAUUCCCGGCGGGAGAG